AACGAACGCUGGCGGCAUGCCUAACACAUGCAAGUCGAACGAGACCUUCGGGUCUAGUGGCGCACGGGUGCGUAACGCGUGGGAACCUGCCCUUAGGUUCGGAAUAACUCCCCGAAAGGGGUGCUAAUACCGGCUAAUGUCUUCGGACCAAAGAUUUAUCGCCUUUGGAUGGGCCCGCGUUGGAUUAGCUAGUUGGUAGGGUAAAAGCCUACCAAGGCGACGAUCCAUAGCUGGUCUGAGAGGAUGAUCAGCCACACUGGGACUGAGACACGGCCCAGACUCCUACGGGAGGCAGCAGUGGGGAAUAUUGGAAAAUGGGCGAAAGCCUGAUCCAGCAAUGCCGCGUGAGUGAUGAAGGCCUUAGGGUUGUAAAGCUCUUUUACCCGGGAUGAUAAUGACAGUACCGGGAGAAUAAGCACCGGCUAACUCCGUG
rnacentral:rRNA from 1 species